GCGGAUGUGGCGAAAUCAGGAAAACGCACCAGAGUUAGGAUCUUGCGGUUAACAACACCUUGUGGGUUCGAGUCCCAUCAUCCGUA
rnacentral:tRNA from 2 species